AACGCACAUUGCGCCCCUCGGUAUUCCGGGGGGCAUGCCUGUCCGAGCGUCAUUGGACCUCUCAAGCGUAGCUUGGUAUUGGGUGUCGCCUCCAGGGCGUACCCGAAAAUCAUGGGCGGUCCGGGGUGACUUUAAGCGUAGUAAAUCUUCUCCCGCUAUGAAAGUUCACACUGUGGCUGCCCGACAACCCCCCGCAUCGAUCAAUGAUUGACCUCGGAUCAGGUAGGGAUACCCGCUGAACUUAA
rnacentral:misc_RNA from 1 species